CGUUAGCGGCGGACGGGUGAGUAACACGUGGGUAACCUACCUAUAAGACUGGGAUAACUUCGGGAAACCGGAGCUAAUACCGGAUAAUAUUUCGAACCGCAUGGUUCGAUAGUGAAAGAUGGUUUUGCUAUCACUUAUAGAUGGACCCGCGCCGUAUUAGCUAGUUGGUAAGGUAACGGCUUACCAAGGCGACGAUGCGUAGCCGACCUGAGAGGGUGAUCGGCCACACUGGAACUGAGACACGGUCCAG
rnacentral:rRNA from 1 species